UCCUCUUUCAGUGAUGAGGAGAAGCGGCAAGCUAAGUUGCUAAAAGUAACAUGCAAUCUCAACAACGCAGCUUGCAAAUUGAAACUCAAGAUUACAAGAAGGCUAAGAAAUUGUACAGAGGUGUUAGAACUUGAUGAUAGAAAUGUGAAAGCACUAUAUAGGAGGGCUCAAGCUAUAUUCAACUUGUUGAUUUCGAAUUGGCAGAGGCAGAUAUCAAAGGGCCCUAGAGAUUGACCCUGAUAACAGGGUGUGAAACUCGAGUACUGUGUCCUAAAGGAGAAAAUCAGAGAGUACAACAAGAAGGAUGCACAGUUUUAUGGCAAUAAUUGCAAAGAUGAGCAAGUUAGAGGAAGCAAAGGAGACAAAGAAACAACUAAGAUACAACCAUUGUGAGC